rnacentral:SRP_RNA from 1 species
GGCGGGUCUCCCCGCAUUGCAGGGUAGUGAAUCUGGUCAGGUCCGGAAGGAAGCAGCCACAGCUAAUUACUGCAAGUGCCGGGGGUAAGGCUCGCCUCCUUAU